rnacentral:rRNA from 1 species
GAUGAACGCUGGCGGCGUGCCUAAUACAUGCAAGUCGAGCGAACAGACGAGGAGCUUGCUCCUUUGACGUUAGCGGCGGACGGGUGAGUAACACGUGGAUAACCUACCUAUAAGACUGGGAUAACUUCGGGAAACCGGAGCUAAUACCGGAUAACAUGUUGAACCGCAUGGUUCAACAGUGAAAGACGGUCUUGCUGUCACUUAUAGAUGGAUCCGCGCCGCAUUAGCUAGUUGGGAAGGUAAAGGCUUACCAAGGCAACGAUGCGUAGCCGACCUGAGAGGGUGAUCGGCCACACGGGAACGGAGACACGGUCCAGACUCCUACGGGAGGCAGCAGUAGGGAAUCUGCCGCAAUGGGCGAAAGCCUUACGGAGCAACGCCGCGUGAGUGAAGAAGGUCUUCGGAUCGUAAAGCUCUGUUAUGAGUGAAGAACAAAUGUGUAAGUAGCUAUGCACGUCUUGACGGUACCUAAUCAGAAAGCCACGGCUAACUACGUG